ACACGCGUGGGGCGGGCGUUGCCUUAUACAUGCAAGUCGAACGCUUCUUUUUCAACCGGAGCUUGCUCCACCGGAAAAAGAGGAGUGGCGAACGGGUGAGUAACACGUGGGUAACCUGCCCAUCAGAAGGGGAUAACACUUGGAAACAGGUGCUAAUACCGUAUAACAAUCGAAACCGCAUGGUUUUGAUUUGAAAGGCGCUUUCGGGUGUCGCUGAUGGAUGGACCCGCGGUGCAUUAGCUAGUUGGUGAGGUAACGGCUCACCAAGGCCACGAUGCAUAGCCGACCUGAGAGGGUGAUCGGCCACAUUGGGACUGAGACACGGCCCAAACUCCUACGGGAGGCAGCAGUAGGGAAUCUUCGGCAAUGGACGAAAGUCUGACCGAGCAACGCCGCGUGAGUGAAGAAGGUUUUCGGAUCGUAAAACUCUGUUGUUAGAGAAGAACAAGGAUGAGAGUAACUGUUCAUCCCUUGACGGUAUCUAACCAGAAAGCCACGGCUAACUACGUGCCAGCAGCCGCGGUAAUACGUAGGUGGCAAGCGUUGUCCGGAUUUAUUGGGCGUAAAGCGAGCGCAGGCGGUUUCUUAAGUCUGAUGUGAAAGCCCCCGGCUCAACCGGGGAGGGUCAUUGGAAACUGGGAGACUUGAGUGCAGAAGAGGAGAGUGGAAUUCCAUGUGUAGCGCUGAAAUGCGUAGAUAUAUGGAGGAACACCAGUGGCGAAUGCGGCUCUCUGGUCUGUAACUGACGCUGAGGCUCGAAAGCGUGGGGAGCACCAG
rnacentral:rRNA from 1 species